UUAAAGCUUUCUGAAAUUGUGUGGUGAUACUUUGUGUAUUGUGGCUGUCUGGACUGCAUCAUGUGCUGUGACAUAUACUGUGACACUCUUGAGCUUCACUUGUCAGAGCCCUGGGCACAGUCUUUCUCUGCUGUGAGGACUUUGGCUGCCUGUGCCAUGGUUGUAACCAGGAGGCUGCUGUGCAAGGAGCUCUGUGAGAUCGGGCUGCCAGCAGCCUCCCUGGAGGCAUCCUCUUAGGCUCAGCCUUUCUAUAGUCCUGCCUGAGCUAUGUUGCUGUUUUGUAGUCUGGCCAUGUUCUUCCUGAGCCAGAUCUCCUGAUCUUAGUGUCUGGGUUGCCUUUGAUCUGUUACAUCCCUGAAGACUUGUCUGGCAAGCACUGGAUUGUCCUCUGACCCAGUGUAGUGUCACCAGACCUGCUCAGGUAGGGUGGGACUUCACCCUUGUUGGUGAGGGCAUUGCCCUGCUGUCAACCCUUGGCUCCCAGUUCAUCUUCCUUGCAGAGCAGCUCUCCUCUGCUUCCUCACACCAGGUCACCGGAGCCACUUCUUAACUGCUGAAGGCAGAAGUAGAAUUCAUUAACACACUCUCUGGCAUACAAAGCAGUCACUGUCCACAUCUUAGACUGUGACUCCUCCAUGAUGAAUGCCUGCCAUAUGAAGGUGGAGUGACCUCUAGCAAGUUGACAUUUGUUUCCUGUGAGCUGAUUACUGAAACCCUGAUUACUCAAAAAGCCCUUUUAUUCUUUCCAUCCUCAUCAGACACUCUUCUCAAUCAAAUGAGUUUAUUUACUUCCACUGAGGACUAAAGCCCCAGCUUUACAAGGAUCUGGUUCAACAAACUCUUUCACAGGCAUUAUUUAUCCAAGGGAUUUGAUAUAAAUGCAUGCACUACAAUGGACACUAUCCCCUU